GCGGAAAAGCUCUAACUGGUUGGGAUUCGUUUCCUCAUCUUCUGCGCUUACAACGCAGGGGUCGCUGGUUCGAACCCAGCACCGCC
rnacentral:tRNA from 1 species